rnacentral:lncRNA from 1 species
AAAUAACUAAGUUAAUUAAAAUUGAUUAAUCAAAAUUACACUAAUUACAAAUUUUAAUCAAUUAAUUAAAUCAAAAGAGGAAAAAAAUGGAUAAUAAAGUUGAUUUACUUGAUUGAAUUGAAUUGAUGUGCUCGAACCGGUUUAUGCGAGAUAACAACGUUUAAUGUUAUUCGCGAAAUCUAAACACGGUGAAAAAUAUUCUAUUAAUGUAUUGAAAUUUGGCGAUA